AGCAGCCGCGGUAAUUCCAGCUCCAAUAGCGUAUAUUAAAGUUGUUGCGGUUAAAACGCUCGUAGUUGGAUUUGCGACUAUGGAAAACGGUCCCUCGAAAGAGCGGUCACUGUUUAUCCUGGUCUUAAUUUUAUUCAGUCUCGCCCUAGGUGCUCUUUACCGGGUGCUUAGGGUGGCUGGAAAGUUUACUUUGAAAAAAU
rnacentral:rRNA from 1 species